UACGAAGGGGGCUAGCGUUGCUCGGAAUUACUGGGCGUAAAGGGUGUGUAGGCGGAUACUUAAGUCGGGGGGUGAAAGCCCAGGGCUCAACCCUGGAAUAGCCUUCGAUACUGGGUAUCUUGAGUUCGGGAGAGGUAAGUGGAACUCCGAGUGUAGAGGUGAAAUUCGUAGAUAUUCGGAAGAACACCAGUGGCGCAAGGACGGACCUUAC
rnacentral:rRNA from 1 species